rnacentral:misc_RNA from 1 species
GUUUUAAUAUGGCAAUACGGUGGAUGAUGGAACUGUAUAUCAAAUUUAUACAUUAGAUUAAAACAUGUAAAUGUGCAAAAGAGAACAAUCCACCUGUGGAGUUUUUUCUAUGCAUAAAAAUGGAUAAUGAUACAACUACCAGAUCUAAGGUCCAUCAAUUUAGUGGAAUAAGGAGAUCAAAUGGUGCAACAAACACAAAUCUUUAAAAAAUG